GAUUUGCGUGAGGGAUAGCAGUGGAAAGCCCGGAGCCUGACGAAGGAAGUGCGAGGACUUGAAACGGAUAGCCCGGCCCGGA
rnacentral:misc_RNA from 1 species